rnacentral:misc_RNA from 1 species
GUAGGUGAACCUGCGGAAGGAUCAUUAACAAGUCCGCUGCGUGCGCAUUCGUGCGUAUGCACAUCCGUUCCAUGCGCAGUUCGCUGUGCAUGACAUUUCUGCAAAUCUCUGAUUGUCACACUAAAUAAUACAAACUUUUAACAAUGGAUCUCUAGGCUCUU